CACCAGGCAAAAAUCUUGCACAUGGACCAAGCUACACCAAUUACUAUCUCAACAUCUUCUUGAUUCCUCGUUUUAUUACUCUAUCUAUCCAUACAUGUUUGAACAUAUCAGUGUCACAUUCUGUCAUAAUUUGCACUGAUUAAUUCUCAAUGCACAUACUACAAGGUGUAGAGUUGUGAGUUGUUUCUCAUGAUGAUAUAUACGAAUCCGUGCGUCCUAGCAAUAAAGAAAAUAUGAACCGUUAAUAUA
rnacentral:lncRNA from 1 species